AUUAAUAUCUUGACCCUUAAAAAAAGAAAGAUAGAACAGAAGAAUGAAGAUAACCACCUUUGGGAAUUUAUGGAGAACAAAUGCCCACAAAAAGAAGAUGGACUCUCAUUUCCCAAAUUUAUUUUAAUACAAAUGGGAUUAUUGUUACACAAACUCAACUUUUUUCCUAAGCUUUCGGUCUCUCACCAUUUUAUACAUAUUAAUAAAUAUAUACAUAAAACUCGGCAAACCAUCUAACUGAAACAAAAAGCACCUGCCUGGACGCUACUUCUCCUAAACUAGGAUGACUUUAUCUCCUAUGCUCUUCCUCUCAACAUGGCUGCAGUGAGAACCGAUUCUUACAAACGAGGCUUGUGAAUCAAAUAGGACUCUUUAAUAUACAUAGCUGGUCAGUCAAACAAGAACGAUCUGGCUUGCACCACUAGGAACAAUUUACAAGUUUGCAAGCUGCCAAUUAUGAGCUCUCUUGGAAUUUGAGUGACCGAGACAAUGCUGCAGGAUUGGCUUGUAAUACAGGGGAGGUUUCCGUUGUGUGAUUCUUUUCAUUGCUUUUUGAUUCAAAUGCCUUAAAUAGUCCUCGCCCACCAAUUGAAUCCGCCCUGUCAUUCUUAAUCCCAAGUGUGGUCCAUAUGGAACUUUUUGCAGCUUCUCCAGGGUCAUCAAUCCUCAAUGUUUUCGGAAUCCAAAGGCAUCUUUCAGCAUUACUUUCUUUAACUGGUUCUUCUCCAGAGUUGUUUGUUUUCUGCAUGUUCUCAUCCCUUGAAUGUUUUCCCAAGGUUGGAGAAUUAGGGCCAGAGCUGAGGGCAGUUUGGUUUGGACGAGAUGGAUGAGGAAUCCAAGGCAUGUUCCAAGUGCCUGGAACAGUGCAACCCCAAUAAGCUGCUGUAGGAUAGAAUGGCAUGGGAAAUCCUGGAGGGCAAAAGGCAGGGGGAGGUACUGGAGAGCUCCACUGAGCUGAAUUCCAGGGAUAAGGCCAGGGAGUGCCAGGAAAACAUGGUAUCUGAGGUGGAAAGCCCUGACAAUUUUUCAGCACUGACUCUUGUGACCCACUUUUGCUUGCCUCAUCCUUUGAAUUUGAUGCCAAGACUGAAGAUCUAUUAGAACAGUUCUCCCCAUUUCCCACACUUCCAUAAGAACCUGGAAUCCCUAAUGCUUCAGGUUUGUGAAACCCAUUUCUUGUGCAAUGCACUGUUUUAUCAGCAAGAUUCAACACAGAAGCUAUUGAUUCAUGAAGUGGAGUAUCUGCGCCAAAGGUGAGGACUGUCCCAUUAGUUUUCAACGCAGGAUGGUGCAUGCCAUUUGGAAUAUCAGUUCGAACAUUCUGAAGAGCUUCAGAGACAGUCAUGUGACGGUAAUGAGAAGCUGAGUUCUUGUUUUUACGACGACCAGCACCAACAGGCACAUUCCUCAUAGUCCCCCCAGCUGUCCAAUAUCUCUGGCAAUUUUUGCAGAAGUGCCGGGGUUGAUUCACAUUGUAAUUAUUGUAGUAACAGAACUUGGUGUCCAUGCUAUUACAGCGAGGGCAUGGAAGGAUUUUGUCAGGUUUUUUGGGACUCUUUUCUUGUGAAUUACUUGUAUCACUCUGCUCUUCCUCUGUCUUUGAAGUUUUUAAUGCAGCAUUCUCUUUCUCAGCAGAAGGAGUCUUAUGGUUCUCACUUAUCCCAGAGGUUGUAUCAGGAUUUGAUGACUCAUCGGAAGUAACAGUUUGGGCUUCAUUUUCCCAUUUGCUCUCCAUUGUUCUUUCUCCCACUGCAUCCUGAGUUGAUCAUAGUGACAAUUGGGAAGAAAACAAGUAAGAAUCAACCCUAACUCCAAGAAAAUAAGUGACAAUUACAUUUUGCAUGGAAUCUCAUUUUAACAUAUGUAACCAGACAUAUAAAAUGAACAGAAUUUUUCACUCUGGUGAAGAUAUGCUUGAAGUUAAAGCCAAAAUCCAAAUGCAACACAGAAAAACCAUAAAGCAUGCAUACUUUCUGUCCCCAUUAACUGCUAGAAGUAUGUGCCCUCUUCUUUAGUUUUCAAUCACCUAGAAGGAACAAAAUGGGACAGAUUUGGACACGUCAAGUUUGAAGCAUUUCCUUAUUUACAAUACAAAAGCCAGUAAACGAAAAGCAGAUGCAUUUUUAUGCAUUGGAUUUGCCAUGUGACAUACCAAGUUUUUUGCUUCUUACAACUUACUGUAGGACCAAAUGAAUCGCAAAAACAAGUUUUUUUAAACCUGGAGGAUGAAACAACAAUCAGUUGGGGGUCACUUUACAUGAGAAUUUAUGGAGCUAUAUUAAUUGAUCCAAAGAAUCUUUAGUAUUUGAGCUGCUAAUAGCUAGAAAGAAGACACAAUAAUAAAUAACCAUAUGCCCAUUGAGAAGAAUACAACUGACUAAAACCUUUAAGUAUGGGUGAAGAAUAUGCCAGAGUGAAACCAGAAACCCUAACUUCAACCUAUGCCAGAGUGAAACCAGAAACCCUAACUUCAACCUAUCAGCCUACACAAUCAAUAUGGUAAAAUAACAACCAGAAGGCCCCAUGACGCACAAUUUAAAAUAGCAGCAAAAUUUUGAAAAAGAAAAUAAGAAAGAGAAAUAUUGGGCUUUCCAAAAGGGCACUAAUGGAAGAAGGGAAGUAAAACCAUCUAAGAUGAAAGAUCCGAAUCCAGCUCGUAAAAACAUCACCUAAUAGAAUGGAGCCAGUCAAAUAUGAUCUUUGCAAUGAAUUACCUAGCUAGUUCCCCAAAAUAUAUAUAUUACACAUAACAUAACCCUGCAAUCUCCGAAAGAAAAUUAGCAUUUACCAAACAAUCUUAACCAAUUUAAUUCUAAGAUGCUAAAUUGCUCACAAAAAUCAAGUAUUCUCAAACACAAUCUAUUAAAGACUGCAGAAGAAAAGUAAACCUUAAAUCCAAACACACAAAACACCUUAAAGACCUCACACUUGAGCAUCAAAACACAGUAACGAACCACAGCCGUCAAAAGCAGCUCCUGAAAUUCAAUUUUUUCUCCAAAACUAAAACCGACCCACUAAUUCUUCUCAGCUUCAAAGAAAUGGGUCAAUCUAAAACAUCUGAAAAACAAAAAGAAAAAAAAAGCCCAAUCAAAUAAAACAAAAUCAUUACCUUAUCACUUUCUCUCUCUUCCACAUCUCCCUUGGUAUUGCUCUCUUCAAGAGAAGAGUCCUGAUCUUGAUCUUGACUAUCAACAUCAACAACAACGAUGCCACCAACACCACAACAAGUAACAGUAGUAGUAAUAGUACCUCCCUGAUAGAUAUCCGGCAAAGGAAUCGUCUUCCCAAAUAGCUUGAUUGCCGGGUCUUUUGGCUCCGACAUUUCUGCUGCUCUGAUUAUUCUUUCUAUAUCCUUUUCCUUCGCUGAUAAAAAAAGAAAAAACUGACUGAACUGGAAAAGAAAACUGAAAAAAAAAAAAGAAAUUAUUUUAUCUUUGGGAAAUAAAACUGUAAACUUUGUAGAUAGAGAAAGUGAGGAAAGAGGUCUAGCAAGGCGUGUGUGUUUUCGUGGCUAUAUUCUACGUUUUUGAUCCGGUUAGGAAGGUGGGUAUUGCCACGUCAUCUUCGGGAGCAAUUCUCAGCCACAAAUUAUCCUUGUGGCCUUGAAAGAAAGAUCUUCCUUUCCCUCUCUCUUUCUCUCUUUUUGAUUCUCCAAUAUUUCCUUUCAGUCCUAGUCAGCAUUUCCUGCGUUUCCUUUUCUUUCAACGCUUUCCUUUCCUCGCCGAAACUCGCCACAACCCUGUGUAAACGAACCAAUUCGAACCGAGUUUAAAGAGUUGGGGUUUAGUUGAUAAAAAU
rnacentral:misc_RNA from 1 species